AUGAGGUGCCAAGGAAGAUCAACAUAUAGGCCUAUACCAAGAUGAAGUUUAUGACCUUCUGAGCUGACUGUGCCUCUGCUUGAGCCCAGUCAUGAAGAGUCUCAAGAAGAGGAACCACCAACUGAAAGUCGGGAUCCUACACCUGGUCAGGAAAGAGAAGAAGAUCAGGGUGCAGCUGAGAUUCAAGUGUCUGACCUGGAAGCUGAUCUCCAGGAAUUGUCUCAGUCAAAGACUGGGAAUGAAUGCAGAGAUGAUCCUGAUGUCAAGGGGAAGAUUCUGCCAAAACUAGAGCAUUUUAAAAUGCCAGACGCAG
rnacentral:lncRNA from 1 species